UAAGGAGUAAUAGUUAAAAAAGCAGAAAAAUCCAUCAGAUCUUCUCACUCAAACUGAAAAGGUUGUCAAACAACAAGCUCAGCGAGAAGAAAGUCUUUUCGUUAAAGAUCCUAACCAAACCAGUGUUACAUUUUGUUACACAGACUAGAAAAACAAACAGGAUAAUAAAGAAAGAAUCUACUGCAGGAUUUUACAGCAAAUUCUGCACUGUUUGAAUUCGGGCUGAUGACAUCACAAGAGGCACAAGAAUAAUUUUGACAGAUUCUGAAUAAUUACAUUUUAAUUCCAGUCUACAUUGGUCAUCUUAUCAAAGCACUUUCACGUGUUUUAUUGUUGAGCUCCUGCAACGUUUUCACGGGUUUCGAUACGAUUUUUAUGCAAAAAUUCUAUGAUUUUCCAGACUCUGCUUUUCAUUGUUUCCUGUCCUUCAAGUUUAAAGAAAAAAAUAUUAAAAUGCUAAAGUUCAGCUCGAAUUUAUGGCAGAUAAAUAAAAGGAGAAAAGGCACAAAGUAGGAGAGAACAAAAGAAGAUAGGAGAUGGACGGAGGAUGCAGGGAAGGAAGGGAAAAUGAAAAGGUAAUGAAGGAAGGAAAUAAAUGGAUGGGCAGUAAGACAAGGAUGGAAAAGGAGGAAAGGAACAAGGAGGAAAAGAAAAAGGAUAGAAGGAAGGAAAUAAUGAAGGAGGAAUGAUACAAUUGAGGAAGGACUGAAUAAACAACACAGAAACUUAUCCAGACCUGGAAAAUACCAACAUCUAAUCCCAUCAUUUUCCAGACGGCACAGGAUCCCUGUUUAAAUAUUCUGCUGCAGCUGAACAGCAAACAAGGAAAACCCUCUGAAUGAGGAAUCCGAUU